rnacentral:rRNA from 1 species
UCCCUUAGAUGUUCUGGGCCGCACGCGCGCUACACUGACGAAGUCAGCGAGCAUGUCCUACGCCGACAGGUGCGGGGAAUCUUGUCAAACUUCGUCGUGAUGGGGAUUGAUUAUUGAAAUUCUUGAUCAUCAACGAGGAAUUCCUAGUAAGCGCAAGUCAGCAGCUUGCGUUGAUUACGUCCCUGCCCUUUGUACACACCGCCCGUCGCUACUACCGAUUGAAUGGUUUAGUGAGAUCUUCGGAUUGGCGCCACUGCGGCUCAGCAAUGGGCUCGGUGGAUGCCGAAAAGUUGAUCAAACUUGAUCAUUUAGAGGAAGUAAAAGUCGUAACA